rnacentral:rRNA from 1 species
AGGAACAUGUGGUUUAAUUCGAUGCAACGCGAAAACCUUACCUACCCUUGACAUGUCCGGAAUCCUGCAGAGAUGCGGAGUGCCGAAAGGGAAUCGGAACACAGGUGGUGCAUGGUUGUCGUCAGCUCGUGUCGUGAGAUGUUGGGUUAAGUCCCGCAACGAGCGCAACCCUCGUCCUAUGUUGCCAGCGGGUCAUGCCGGGGACUCAUGGGAGACUGCCGGGGUCAACUCGGAGGAAGGUGGGGAUGACGUCAAAUCAUCAUGCCCCUUAUGUCUUGGGCUUCACGCAUGCUACAAUGGCCGGUACAAAGGGCUGCGAUACCGCGAGGUGGAGCGAAUCCCAGAAAGCCGGUCUCAGUUCGGAUUGGGGUCUGCAACUCGACCCCAUGAAGUCGGAGUCGCUAGUAAUCGCAGAUCAGCAACGCUGCGGUGAAUACGUUCCCGGGCCUU